ensembl:miRNA
UGCUGUGGAUUAGUCUUUGGCUUAAGGGAAUAGUGUGGCUGGUUUGAUCUUCUAUCCAGAUCACUAAAACUUUCUCCAAAUCAGC